rnacentral:rRNA from 1 species
AGAACGAACGCUGGCGGCAUGCCUAAUACAUGCAAGUCGAACGAACUCUUCGGAGUUAGUGGCGCACGGGUGCGUAACGCGUGGGAAUCUGCCCCUUGGUUCGGAAUAACAGUUGGAAACGACUGCUAAUACCGGAUGAUGACGAAAGUCCAAAGAUUUAUCGCCAAGGGAUGAGCCCGCGUAGGAUUAGCUAGUUGGUGAGGUAAAGGCUCACCAAGGCAACGAUCCUUAGCUGGUCUGAGAGGAUGAUCAGCCACACUGGGACUGAGACACGGCCCAGACUCCUACGGGAGGCAGCAGUAGGGAAUAUUGGACAAUGGGCGAAAGCCUGAUCCAGCAAUGCCGCGUGAGUGAUGAAGGCCUUAGGUUGUAAAGCUCUUUUACCCGAGAUGAUAAUGACAGUAUCGGAGAAUAAGCCCCGGCUAACUCCGUGCCAGCAGCCGC